AUACAUCAGACCAGGCAUUGCAAGACUCACCCAGUCAGCUACUUCCCAUCCAGGGCACAGGAUUAUUGCCUGGGGAAAUUAUUUAUUUGUUGCAGCUGCCAAAAGCUCCGGGUGUGAGCUGGGUGGGUUGAAAUCACCUGUGAACAGAUCCCCUCCCCUAUAAAUUGUCACCCACCAGGUGCCACUCAGAAAUUGUAAUCUGUGGUAAGGUUGGGGCCUUCCUUCUCUCUAAGUCAAUGGUAUUACAGUAGGGGUGCAGUUGGCCUUAAGAACAAACAGAACAAACUCUUGCCUUAGUUGCUGGAGAUAUUAGUCAUUAGAAAAGCAAACAGCCCAGUGCUUCUGAGAGUCAGUAGCACAGAGAACAGAUAAAACUAAUACUUUCCAAACCACCAUAACCUUCCUUUAAUGCUUUUAUGGAUCUAAUCUUUUAAAUCGAUUUUAAAGAAAACAGACAAAAGUUCUUAGCCCUAGCCCUGACCUGUUAGUCAUCGGUGCUGGAUGGUAGGCAAAGCUUAAGUUGUAAUCUGCUAAAGCAGCAGUGUGUACAAAGGGACGAGCCUUCAACUGGAGCAGUGGAAGGCUGCCACCAGCAGCUCCAGUGACUAAUGUGCAAACUGGGCAAAGCUUAUUUAUUUACUUGGUUAACCCCUUCUCUUCAGAAACAAGGGAAAACACCCUGCCUUUGGUAGAUUAACUGAUGCUAAUGCUACAUCCCCUCUGUAGGAGCCAAGGAUCUGACUUGGAUGGACUGCAAUCAUCAAAAAGGUCCCAGAUCUCCGCUGCAGAAGUCCAGGAGGAAAAGGACAGCCCAGUAACUCCCCUCCCCGCAGGCAUCUGCACUGGCAGCUUCCCUGCUCAUUGGCCACCACUGGCCAAAUGUGACAUCCCUGCAUCCCCUCCCCAAACAGCCCGCUCACUGCUGCCUGUGCGGUGCAAGCCUGCCAAUAAAGUUCUGAAAUCA